rnacentral:misc_RNA from 1 species
GUAGGUGAACCUGCGGAAGGAUCAUUUGUGAAAUUAGAUGUUUUUGGAAGAGGGGAGCUUUUUUUAGGAGUAACAUUCUAAAGGGGGUAAUCUUUUUUCAAAAAACAUUAAAAAAAGAGAUUUCUGUGGUUUAUAAAUGAUUUUUAAAAAAAGAAAAUUGUUUGUUGUUGGAUCUUUCUAAUGACAAACAAAUUAUAUUUUUUAAAAAAAUCAAUUUUUAUAUAAAAAAUUUUAAAAUGUAUUUAAAAAAUUAACAGUUUUAAAAAAAAUAAAUUAAAAAAAAAUUAAAACUGUCAACGGUGGAUCUCUUGGCUCGU